CAAGGCUUCAAACUCCCUCGACAGUUUGGAAUCUUAUUUUGAAACAAUUCUAGAGUCCAUGCCAGUUGUCUUACAGGAAGUCGCAUAUCCUGGAUUGUCUGUUUAUUGCCUCAAGAUUUGAUUUAAGAAACAUUUUGGGCAAGAGCCCCACACAGAGGAUGUGGUGUGCAUCUUAGUAUGUUGCUGAUGUCAGGUAGCUAUUAGUGAUGCCUACACUAUGAAUUCAAUGAACACUUGUUGAAGAAAUGAUCUGGUGCCAGGCAAUCUCCUAAGGACUUGGGAGCUUGACUUCAAAUAGGAGAGAGACAGCUUAUAUAAUCUCCAGAGCCUCCAACAUUGUCCUAGGAGCAGAGUGGAAAAAUGCUUUGUAACAUGAAGGGAAGACUGAAGUGACAUAGCAAAUGGCCCAGCAGCAGCACAGAGGAGAGGGACAGACCCAGAGAAGGGUGAGGUCAAGAGGCUACAGCUGUUCCUCAGCCCCAACCCCCAGACUCACUUCGAUGAUCAUAACUUUUUGGCUGUUGCUUUGGGGAGGGGCAGGCAGCUUGGUGAAAUGCCUGUGACCCAGCUAAGCAUUCAGCUGGAAGACUUCGCAGCAAGGUGCCCAAGGAAACCCUCAGGACAGAGAGGCUGGCAAGUUCAAAGGGCAGCCUGCCAGUCAUUCCUCUGCUGGCCCGUGCCAAGGGUCUAGGCCAGAUUUGGGCCUGGGAGUAUCUAGGGAAAACAUCAAACUAUAGUUUUCACUGCCUUGGUUGUCACAUUUGCCUCCUUCUGUGGCUACCCUCCUUCCACCCCAAAUAAAG
rnacentral:lncRNA from 1 species